CACGUAGGGUGCGAGCGUUGUCCGGAAUUAUUGGGCGUAAAGAGCUCGUAGGCGGUGUGUCGCGUCUGCCGUGAAAACCUGCAGCUUAACUGUGGGCUUGCGGUCGAUACGGGCAUCACUGGAGUUCGGCAGGGGAGACUGGAAUUCCUGGUGUAGCGGUGAAAUGCGCAGAUAUCAGGAGGAACACCGGUGGCGAAGGCGGGUCUCUGGGACGAUACUGACGCUGAGGAGCGAAAGCGUGGGGAGCGAACAGG
rnacentral:rRNA from 1 species